rnacentral:lncRNA from 1 species
AUGGCUAUGCUCACUACUGGCCGCCGAUGCUGCACAGGGACCAGUAUCGUGACCCGAGAGUGGGCGCAGCCACCACCGCUUCUGCUCGCCCCACAGAGCGUCCCGGCCGUCACCCAAGCGCUCUCGGCAGCUGGAACAUGCCAGCAAGGGGCCAUCACCCUCACCCAACAAUCUCAGGGCUCAUCGAGCACAGGGCGUAUGUACGAUUGCAAAGACAAGGGAGUUGGAGACAGUGAUCAAUAUCUUGCUGAACGGCGCACUGCACGUCACCUUAUUUCACAAGUCUAUUAUUAGGUUACAUGCA